GCCUAAAGCGUCCGUAGCCUGAUCUAUAAGUUUCCGGUUAAAUCCACAUGCUCAACAUUUGGGCUGCCGGAAAAACUGUAGAUCUAGGGAGUGGGAGAGGUAGACGGUACUCGAUAGGAAGGGGUAAAAUCCUUUGAUCUAUUGAUGACCACCAGUGGCGAAGGCGGUCUACCAGAACACGUUCGACGGUGAGGGAUGAAAGCUGGGGGAGCAAACCGGAUUAGAUACCCGGGUAGUCCCAGCUGUAAACGAUGCAGACUCGGUGAUGCAUUGGCUUAUGGCCAGUGCAGUGCCGCAGGGAAGCCGUUAAGUUUGCCGCCUGGGAAGUACGUACGCAAGUAUGAAACUUAAAGGAAUUGGCGGGGGAGCACCACAAGGGGUGAAGCCUGCGGUUCAAUUGGAGUCAACGCCAGAAAUCUUACCCGGAGAGACAGCAGAAUGAAGGUCAAGCUGAAGACUUUACCAGACAAGCUGAGAGGUGGUGCAUGGCCGUCGCCAGCUCGUGCCGUGAGAUGUCCUGUUAAGUCAGGUAACGAGCGAGACCCUUGCCUCUAGUUGCUACCAUUGCUCUCUGGAGCAGUGGGGCGAAUUAGCGGGACCGCCGCAGUUAAUGCGGAGGAAGGAAAGGGCUACGGCAGGUCAGUAUGCCCCGAA
rnacentral:rRNA from 1 species